GGCGAGAAAAUGAUGGAGGCGGGGAGAAUGCUAAUCACACCGCCUUGAGAACUGGGGCGGGAAUCCCGGGCCUGAAGUCCCACUGAGUUUGCCGCACGCGCUCGCCUGCUGCACGGUACUAGCUACGAAGCUCUCCUUUCAGGGCCCCACUUCGGCUCCUCUUGCAUCCUAGCCCUUAAAGGUCAGCGCUUGUGUAAAUAGAACUGCAGUGCCACCUGUCUCCCUUCUGCGCGCUUGCACUGGGUGACGAAGAGGCAAUACUUAGUCCCUAGUGUAUGCCUAACAGUAAUUAAUCGUCAUUAAUGCAAGACCUGAAGCUCCUACAAUUUCGAGCCAUUCAACAAACAUCAAAUUUCUGAAUUGAAGAUACUUUUUAAUUUAAUUUUUUUUUUUUUUGAGACAAGUUCUUGCUUUGUGUUUAGGCUGGCCCUGAACUCACUUUGUAGCCUGGGCUGGCCUCAAACUUAUGGUGAUCUUCCUGCCUCUGCCUCCCAAGUGCUGGGAUCACAGGCAUGUGCCACCAUGCCUAGCCCUGAAUUGAAGAUACUUUUGCUAUAUUGAACAUACUUCUACAGAACCUAACUCAUGAAAUUCAACUUCACGUUCAAGUUCUGGACAUCCAACCCAGGGCCUUCACACUGAACUACAUCACCAGCCUCUGUAUGUGUGUGUGUUUGAGACAGGGUCUUGCUAAGUUGCUCAGCCUGGGCUUGAACUUGAACUUGCCAUCCUCCUGCAUUAGCCUUCCAGAGUGCUGGGAUUACAGACACACAUCACCAUGUACACUAUUUACUAUCUUGAAAAUUGACCCUGAAAUGGUGUUGUAAACAUAGACACCUUUGAUAUAUAUAUCUGGGCAUGAAUGAAUGAAUGAAUGAAUGGCAGCUGAGAUUAAUUUUUUCAACUUCACAACUGGCAUUGAGUGCUUGGGUGCAGCCUUGCCACAUGAACUACAUCUCUCAGGUUGGCCAGACUCUACUAACUGUGGC
rnacentral:lncRNA from 1 species